rnacentral:tRNA from 1 species
GGGUCGGUGGCCGAGUGGUUAAUGGCAACGGUCUGUAAAACCGUCGGGCGGAAGCCCUUCGGAGGUUCGAAUCCUCCCCGGCCCACGA